AUUGAACGCUGGCGGCAGGCCUAACACAUGCAAGUCGAACGAGUGGCGGACGGGUGAGUAAUGUAUGGGAAACUGCCUGAUGGAGGGGGAUAACUACUGGAAACGGUAGCUAAUACCGCAUACCAUCGGAUGUGCCCAGAUGGGAUUAGCUAGUAGGUGGGGUAACGGCUCACCUAGGCGACGAUCCCUAGCUGGUCUGAGAGGAUGACCAGCCACACUGGAACGUGGACAUGGUCCAGACUCCUACGGGAGGCAGCAGGGGGGAAUAUUGGACAAUGGGCGCAAGCCUGAUACAGCCAUGCCGGGGGGAUGAAGAAGGCCUUCGGGUUGGAAAGUACUUUCAGCGAGGAGGCGUUACCCGCAGAAGAAGCACCGGCUAACUCCGUGCCAGCAGCCGCGGUAAUAC
rnacentral:rRNA from 1 species